rnacentral:rRNA from 1 species
AGGGUGAGAAUCCCGUACAUGAGGUGGACUACCAGUGCYUUGUGAUACAGUCUCCAAGAGUCGAGUUGUUUGGGAAUGCAGCUCAAAAUGGGUGGUAAAUUCCAUCUAAGGCUAAAUAUUGACGAGAGACCGAUAGCGAACAAGUACCGUGAGGGAAAGAUGAAAAGCACUUUGGAAAGAGAGUUAACAGUACGUGAAAUUGUUGAAAGGGAAACGAUUGAAGUCAGUCUGGUACUUUGUGGUUCAGCCUCACGGCGUAUUCCACUUUGAACCGGCCAACAUCAGUUUCAGAUGUCGGAUAAGGGUAGGGGAAACGUAGCAGUCUCGGCUGUGUUAUAGUCCUCUACUGGAUACGACGUCAGGGACUGAGGAACGCAGUGAGCCUUUGGCGGGUCUUCGGACCUUCUCACUAUGGAUGUUGGCGUAAUGGCUUUAAACGACCCGUCUUGAAACACGGACCAAGGAGUCUAACAUGCUUGCGAGUGUUUGGGUGACAAACCCGGACGCGUAAUGAAAGUGAAUGUAGGUGGGAACCGAAAGGUGCACCAUCGACCGGUCCGGAUUUUUAAUGAUGGAUCUGAGUAAGAGCAAGUCUGUUGGGACCCGAAAGAUGGUGAACUAUGCCUGAAUAGGGCGAAGCCAGAGGAAACUCUGGUGGAGGCUCGUAGCGGUUCUGACGU